rnacentral:rRNA from 1 species
GGGGUGGGGCCAGCUACCAUGCAAGUCGAGCGGUAGCACAGGGAGCUUGCUCCUGGGUGACGAGCGGCGGACGGGUGAGUAAUGUCUGGGAAACUGCCUGAUGGAGGGGGAUAACUACUGGAAACGGUAGCUAAUACCGCAUAACGUCGCAAGACCAAAGAGGGGGACCUUCGGGCCUCUUGCCAUCAGAUGUGCCCAGAUGGGAUUAGCUAGUAGGUGGGGUAACGGCUCACCUAGGCGACGAUCCCUAGCUGGUCUGAGAGGAUGACCAGCCACACUGGAACUGAGACACGGUCCAGACUCCUACGGGAGGCAGCAGUGGGGAAUAUUGCACAAUGGGCGCAAGCCUGAUGCAGCCAUGCCGCGUGUAUGAAGAAGGCCUUCGGGUUGUAAAGUACUUUCAGCGGGGAGGAAGGUGUUGAGGUUAAUAACCUCAGCAAUUGACGUUACCCGCAGAAGAAGCACCGGCUAACUCCGUGCCAGCAGCCGCGGUAAUACGGAGGGUGCAAGCGUUAAUCGGAAUUACUGGGCGUAAAGCGCACGCAGGCGGUCUGUCAAGUCGGAUGUGAAAUCCCCGGGCUCAACCUGGGAACUGCAUUCGAAACUGGCAGGCUAGAGUCUUGUAGAGGGGGGUAGAAUUCCAGGUGUAGCGGUGAAAUGCGUAGAGAUCUGGAGGAAUACCGGUGGCGAAGGCGGCCCCCUGGACAAAGACUGACGCUCAGGUGCGAAAGCGUGGGGAGCAAACAGGAUUAGAUACCCUGGUAGUCCACGCCGUAAACGAUGUCGACUUGGAGGUUGUGCCCUUGAGGCGUGGCUUCCGGAGCUAACGCGUUAAGUCGACCGCCUGGGGAGUACGGCCGCAAGGUUAAAACUCACAUGAAUUGACGGGGGCCCGCACAAGCGGUGGAGCAUGUGGUUUAAUUCUAUGCAACGCGAAGAACCUUACCUACUCUUGACAUCCAGAGAACUUUCCAGAAAUGAAUUGGUGCCUUCGCCAACUCUAAAACAGUGCUGCAUGGCUGUCGUCACCUCCUGUUGUCAAAUGUUGGAUUAAGUCCCACAACCAGCGCAACCCUUAUCCUUUGUUGCAGCGGUCCGGCCGGGAACUCAAAGAAUACUGCCAGUGAUCAACUGGAGAAAGUGGGAAUGACGCGAGUCAUCCUGCCCCUUACGAGGAGGGUUAACAACUGCUAAAUGGGGGUACAAAAGAAAAAAAAUCCCGGAACCACCGGACCCAAAUAGGCGUCCUUUCCGGUUGGGAGUCGCACGGCACCCCCCCACCCCCAUGGCCUUGAACUAAAUAAAAAGUAACGGAAAAUUUACGGGCCUGUAAACG